UUCGGGAUGCCGACGAGUGGCGAACGGGUGAGUAACGCGUGGAUACCUGCCCCGAGGUGUGGGACAACAGCUGGAAACGGCUGCUAAUACCGCAUAAGCCUUACGAGGGAAAGGCGCAAGUCGCCUUGGGAGGGGUCCGCGUCGGAUUAGCUUGUUGGUGGGGUAGAGGCCUACCAAGGCGAUGAUCCGUAGCUGGUCUGAGAGGAUGAUCAGCCACACUGGGACUGAGACACGGCCCAGACUCCUACGGGAGGCAGCAGUGGGGAAUAUUGCGCAAUGGGGGAAACCCUGACGCAGCGAUACCGCGUGGGUGAAGAAGGUCUUCGGAUUGUAAAGCCCUUUCAGCAGGAACGAUGAUGACGGUACCUGCAGAAGAAGCCCCGGCUAACUCCGUGCCAGCAGCCGCGGUAAUACGGAGGGGGCGAGCGUUGUUCGGAAUGACUGGGCGUAAAGGGCGCGUAGGCUGCUCUGCAAG
rnacentral:rRNA from 1 species